UGGAGGAGGAGGUGGUGGAGUAGGUGGUGUUGGUACUUCACAGAAAUUAACUACCAAUGAUGCCUUAACAUAUCUCAAGGAAGUGAAGGACAUGUUUCAAGACCAGAGGGAAAAAUAUGACAUGUUCCUUGAGGUUAUGAAAGAUUUCAAGGCUCAAAGAACUGACACUGCUGGUGUCAUUGCAAGAGUGAAAGAGUUGUUCAAGGGUCAUAACAACUUAAUCUUUGGAUUUAACACUUUCUUACCCAAGGGAUAUGAGAUAACCCUCGAUGAGGAUGAGGCUCCACCAAAGAAAACAGUUGAAUUUGAAGAAGCUAUCAAUUUUGUAAACAAAAUAAAGAAACGUUUCCAAAAUGAUGAACAUGUUUAUAAAUCAUUCCUAGACAUUUUGAAUAUGUAUCGGAAGGAACACAAGGACAUAGAUGAGGUCUACAGUGAGGUUUCUAGUCUUUUUGAGGAACACCAAGAUUUGCUUGAUGAGUUCACUAGAUUUUUACCAGAUGCUUCAGUGACGCCUAUGAUUCAAAAUGCUCCAUAUGGCCGAAGUUCCAUUCAGCGUUACAAUGAGCGGAACUCUACUACACCCACCUUGCGGCAAAUGCAUAUGGACAAGGUGAUUGCAAUUAUUUCAUGCCUUUUUUCUUUUUCUCUUUUCCAAUUUUUCUGAAGAUUGGGCAUGGGUACUAGCAUUACUUAACUGGAUAUAUCAUAUAUUCUAUAAGGGUGAAAUUAUUUAUUUAACUUUAUGUAAAAUAAGUUAUUUCAUCUGUGCUAAAUGGAUUCUUAAUUGUGAGCAAAUGAAUCUCUUUUAGCAACGUCGGCGGGAUAGGAUUGUUACUUCUAAUGCAGAUCGCGAUCUUAGUGUUGAUCGACCUGAGCUGGAUGAUGAUAAAGCAAUGAUGAAAGUGCAAAAAGAACAGAGAAAGCGUGUUGAGAAGGAAAAUAGAGAUAGGAGAAAUCGUGAACAAGAUGAUAGGGAGCCUGAGCACGAUAGCAAUAGGGACUUCAGCUUGCAUUGUUUUCCCGAUAAAAAGAAAUCUGCCCGGAAGGUUGAAGGUUUUGGAAUGAACUCGAACAUUUCUUCUUAUGAUGACAAAGAUAAUUUAAAGAGUAUGUACAACCAAGGAUUCAUAUUCUGUGAGAAAGUCAAGGAGAAGUUAGGCAGUUCAGAUGAUUACCAAGCAUUUUUAAAGUGCCUUAAUAUUUACAGCAAUGGUAUAAUAAAAAAGAAUGAUUUACAAAAUCUGGUGGCUGAUUUACUUGGAAAGUAUCCUGAUCUUAUGGAGGAGUUCAAUGAUUUCUUUGAGCGAUGUGAGAAUAUUGAUGGGUUCCUUGCUGGUGUUAUGAGUAAAAAAUCACCGGGUAGUGAUGGACAUAUAUCCAGACCAUUGAAAUUGGAGGACAAAGAUAAAGAGCAGAAGCGUGAAUUGGAUGGAACUAAAGAUAAGGAAAGAAACAGGGAGAAGUAUAUGGCAAAAUCCAUUCAAGAGCUUGACCUUUCUAACUGUCAACGUUGUACUCCCAGCUACCGGCUUCUGCCAGAUGAUUAUCCCAUACCUUCAGCAAGCCAGAGAUCAGAGCUUGGUGCCCAAGUAUUGAAUGAUCACUGGGUCUCUGUGACUUCAGGAAGUGAGGAUUAUUCUUUUAAACAUAUGCGCAGAAAUCAAUAUGAAGAAAGUUUGUUCAGAUGUGAAGAUGAUAGAUUUGAGCUGGACAUGUUGUUGGAGUCUGUGACCUCCACAGCUAUACGUGCAGAGGAGUUGUUGAACAGCAUCAAUGAAAAUAAAAUAGACACUCCAAUCCAUAUCGAAGACCAUUUUACUGCUCUAAAUUUAAGGUGCAUCGAGCGUUUAUAUGGUGACCAUGGUCUUGAUGUCAUGGACAUAUUGCGUAAAAACCCAUCUCUUGCACUACCUGUUAUAUUAACUCGCUUAAAACAGAAACAAGAAGAGUGGACCAGGUGUCGAGCAGAUUUUAACAAGGUCUGGGCUGAAAUUUAUGCAAAAAACCAUUACAAAUCACUGGAUCACCGCAGCUUUUAUUUCAAGCAACAAGAUUCAAAGAACUUGAGCACAAGAUCGUUGGUCUCUGAGAUCAAGGAAUUGAAAGAAAAGCAACAGAAAGAGGAUGAUGUUCUGUUAGCUUUUGCUGCUGGAAAUCGAAAACCUGUGGUUCCACAUUUGGAGUAUGAAUACUCUGAUAUGAGCAUUCAUGAAGACUUGUUUAAACUUGUUGAAUACUCAUGUGAAGAGGUUUGCUCAACCAAAGAUCAAUUGAGUAAAGUUAUGAGGCUCUGGACUACAUUCAUGGAGCCAAUGCUUGGCAUUGUUCAGCGUUCUAAUGGUCUGGAAAGUUCUGAAGAUGACAAAAAAGUUGGGCAUCAAGCUACGAAUUGCCCUACAUCAAGCAUGGUAGAAAAUGGUGGUGGUUCUGCCACAUUGAAUUCUAAGCAGCCAAAAUCAACUAGUAAUGGAGAGGAAAACACUUCACCGGAACUAGCAAACUCUUGCAGGCCAAGUUUGGCAAAUGGAGAUAAUUUGGCUAAAGAUAGUUUACUCGAAUUAGAUCGUGUUAGUAAAGAUGAUCAGACAUGUAAUAUGUUUAGGGUAGAAAAGGCGCACACAGAUGUGGAUGUGACCAACAGAAUGUCUGGAUUCAACACACAAGUUGCCUCUGUUCAGGGCGUAGCUGAUUCAAAAAUAUCACUUGUGGUGGGAGCUCAACAAAGUCAUGGGAGAACAAACAUCAGUGGGAUGGCAGGAUCUGGUUCGACACAGUCCAUGCCUGGCAGUGGUGCUCUUGAGGAUCAUAAAUUCCAAGAUAGCAUUGAUAUUGGACCUUCAUCAGAGGUGCUUCAGGAUGGGAUUGGUGCAAAAUCUGUUUUACCAGCUAAUGGAGGAUUGAUGGAUAGCACUAAAUGCAGUAGAUAUCAUGAAGAAUCCACUGGACCCUCCAAAACAGAAAAGGAGGAGGGUGAGUUAUCUCCCAAUUGUGAUUUUGAGGAGGACAAUUUUGCUGUCUAUGGGGAUAAUGGCUUGCAGGCAUUGCCUAAGGGAAAGCAUAGCAGUGAAAGCAGGCAAAAUGAAUCUGGAAAUGGGAAAGAGUUACGCUGUCAGGAUGCUGGAGCUGAAAAUGAUGUUGAUGCAGAUGCUGAUGAUGAGGAUAGUGAUAAUGCUUCUGAGGCUGCUGAUGAUGCAUCUGGCAGUGAGUCGGCAGGUGAUGAAUGCUCCCGUGAAGAGCAUGAAGAGGAUGAAGAUGUAGAACAUGAUAAUGUUGACGGGAAGGCUGAAAGUGAAGGUGAGGCUGAGGGGUUGGCUGAUGCACAGUUUGCGGGAGAUGUGCCAUUACCAGAACGUUUUCUUUUGUCUGUGAAGCCUCUUGUGAAGCAUGUUCCAGCAAGUUUAGUUGAUGGGGAAAGGAAGGAAUCUCGGAAAUUCUAUGGAAAUGAUGAUUUCUAUGUGCUUUUUAGGCUUCACCAGACCCUCUAUGAAAGAAUAUUAUCAGCAAAAACUAAUUCAACUUGUGCUGAAAUGAAAUGGAGAACUUCUAAAGAUGCCAGUUCUUCAAAUCCCUAUGCCAGAUUUAUGAGUGCACUGUACAAUUUGCUUGAUGGAUCUGCUGAUAAUGCCAAGUUUGAAGAUGAAUGCAGAGCUAUUAUUGGAAAUCAAUCUUAUGUGUUAUUCACACUGGACAAGUUAAUAUAUAAAUUGGUCAAACAGCUUCAAACUGUUGCAACUGAUGAUAUGGACAAUAAACUUCUUCAAUUAUAUGAGUAUGAGAAUUCCCGUAAAGCUGGGACGUCAGUUGACUCAGUUUAUUACGAUAAUGCACGUUUCCUUUUGCAUGAAGAGAAUAUUUAUCGCUUGGAAUUUUCAUCUUCUCCAUCUCGUUUGUCAAUCCAGCUCAUGGACAAUGUAACUGAGAAGCCUGAGGUGUUGGCAGUUGCCAUGGAUCCUAAUUUUUCAGCAUAUUUGCACAAUGAUUUUCUGUCCAUCUUUCCUAGCAAAAAGGAGCCACAUGGUAUUGCGCUGCUGAGAAACAAACGGAAAUACAAAGGC
rnacentral:misc_RNA from 1 species